UCGAUUGGAGCAGGAAACCUACAUCAAAUCAUAAAGGAACCAUAAGUUGUUAUUACUGCUAUUGUUGUUGGUUUGCUACUGCUGCUCUAAAUGGGAGUCAUAACAUAAAGUUUUUUCAAUCAGAUUUUGGGUCAUUUUCUUCAUGGUAAACGGAUGAAAGAGCCAAAUGUAGCCGAGUUUAUAUUAGCACUAGCUGGUGUAAGCAAAAAAAAAAAAUGGUUAUGGCAUGUGCUACUUCAGCAGGCUCUACCACACUAGCUUUAGUUGUUGCUGUUAAUCAAAUUAGUGGUGGCUAAGUCAUUUGCAUUGUCGUAAACCAUGAAGAUCUAAGGGCCUAAUUCAAUUUCAUGGUUGGAAAAGAACAAAUACCAAUGUUAGACCAAUAUGAAUGAGCAUUUUUUUUGCAAAUUGACUGUAAUCUUAAGAGUUUGACAAAUUAAAUUAUUGUUUUUGUACUGCCUUUGCUUUGGCUUGGUAUAUUUGGCUAUUAAAUUCUGCAGUGGUGGCAUGGUCUGUUUUUUAUGACUGUUUAGUGGAAAAGUGGAUUUCAUUAA